CUGGCGACCGGCGCACGGGUGCGUAACGCGUAUGCAACCUACCUUUAACAGGGGGAUAACACUGAGAAAUUGGUACUAAUACCCCAUAAUAUCAUAGAAGGCAUCUUUUAUGGUUGAAAAUUCCGAUGGUUAGAGAUGGGCAUGCGUUGUAUUAGCUAGUUGGUGGGGUAACGGCUCACCAAGGCAACGAUACAUAGGGGGACUGAGAGGUUAACCCCCCACAUUGGUACUGAGACACGGACCAA
rnacentral:rRNA from 1 species